UACGAAGGGGGCUAGCGUUGCUCGGAAUCACUGGGCGUAAAGCGCACGUAGGCGGACUGUUAAGUCGGGGGUGAAAUCCUGGGGCUCAACCUCAGAAUUGCCUCCGAUACUGGCAGUCUCGAGUGCGGGAGAGGUGAGUGGAAUUCCCAGUGUAGAGGUGAAAUUCGUAGAUAUUGGGAAGAACACCAGUGGCGAAGGCGGCUCACUGGCCCGUAACUGACGCUGAGGUGCGAAAGCGUGGGGAGCGAACAGG
rnacentral:rRNA from 1 species